UACGUAGGGUGCGAGCGUUAAUCGGAAUUACUGGGCGUAAAGCGUGCGCAGGCGGUUCGUUGUGUCGGCGGUGAAAGCCCCGGGCUCAACCUGGGAAUGGCCGUUGAAACUGGCGAACUGGAGUGUGGCAGAGGGGGGUGGAAUUCCGCGUGUAGCAGUGAAAUGCGUAGAGAUCUGGAGGAACACCGAUGCGAAGGCAGCCUUCUGGGCCAACACUGACGCUCAUGCACGAAAGCGUGGGGAGCAAACAGG
rnacentral:rRNA from 1 species